GCUUAACACAUGCAAGUCGAGCGGGCGUAGCAAUACGUCAGCGGCAGACGGGUGAGUAACGCGUGGGAACGUACCUUUUGGUUCGGAACAACACAGGGAAACUUGUGNUAAUACCGGAUAAGCCCUUACGGGGAAAGAUUUAUCGCCGAAAGAUCGGCCCGCGUCUGAUUAGCUAGUUGGUGAGGUAAUGGCUCACCAAGGCGACGAUCAGUAGCUGGUNUGAGAGGAUGAUCAGCCACAUUGGGACUGAGACACGGCCCAAACUCCUACGGGAGGCAGCAGUGGGGAAUAUUGGACAAUGGGCGAAAGCCUGAUCCAGCCAUGCCGCGUGAGUGAUGAAGGCCCUAGGGUUGUAAAGCUCUUUUGUGCGGGAAGAUAAUGACGGUACCGCAAGAAUAAGCCCCGGCUAACUUCGUGCCAGCAGCCGCGGUAAUAC
rnacentral:rRNA from 1 species